UCCGUUUUGUCAACGGCAGUCUCGAUAGAGUGCUCUUGCGUAGCAACUAUCAAUAAGGGUUGCGCUCGUUGCGGGACUUAACCCAACAUCUCACGACACGAGCUGACGACAACCAUGCACCACCUGUCACCGGUGCCCCGAAGGGAGGGUCUAUCUCUAGACCGGUCACCGGGAUGUCAAACCCUGGUAAGGUUCUUCGCGUUGCUUCGAAUUAAACCACAUAAUCCACUGCUUGUGCGGGCCCCCGUCAAUUCCUUUGAGUUUCAACCUUGCGGCCGUACUCCCCAGGUGGAAUACUUAUUGUGUUAACUGCGGCACGGAAGGGGUCAGUCCUCCCACACCUAGUAUUCAUCGUUUACAGCGUGGACUAC
rnacentral:misc_RNA from 1 species